GGAUGUGCCCAGAUGGGAUUAGCUUGUUGGUGGGGUAACGGCUCACCAAGGCGACGAUCCCUAGCUGGUCUGAGAGGAUGACCAGCCACACUGGAACUGAGACACGGUCCAGACUCCUACGGGAGGCAGCAGUGGGGAAUAUUGCACAAUGGGCGCAAGCCUGAUGCAGCCAUGCCGCGUGUAUGAAGAAGGCCUUCGGGUUGUAAAGUACUUUCAGCGGGGAGGAAGGGAGUAAAGUUAAUACCUUUGCUCAUUGACGUUACCCGCAGAAGAAGCACCGGCUAACUCCGUGCCAGCAGCCGCGGUAAUACGGAGGGUGCAAGCGUUAAUCGGAAUUACUGGGCGUAAAGCGCACGCAGGCGGUUUGUUAAGUCAGAUGUGAAAUCCCCGGGCUCAACCUGGGAACUGCAUCUGAUACUGGCAAGCUUGAGUCUCGUAGAGGGGGGUAGAAUUCCAGGUGUAGCGGUGAAAUGCGUAGAGAUCUGGAGGAAUACCGGUGGCGAAGGCGGCCCCCUGGACGAAGACUGACGCUCAGGUGCGAAAGCGUGGGGAGCAAACAGGAUUAGAUACCCUGGUAGUCCACGCCGUAAACGAUGUCGACUUGGAGGUUGUGCCCUUGAGGCGUGGCUUCCGGAGCUAACGCGUUAAGUCGACCGCCUGGGGAGUACGGCCGCAAGGUUAAAACUCAAAUGAAUUGACGGGGGCCCGCACAAGCGGUGGAGCAUGUGGUUUAAUUCGAUGCAACGCGAAGAACCUUACCUGGUCUUGACAUCCACGGAAGUUUUCAGAGAUGAGAAUGUGCCUUCGGGAACCGUGAGACAGGUGCUGCAUGGCUGUCGUCAGCUCGUGUUGUGAAAUGUUGGGUUAAGUCCCGCAACGAGCGCAACCCUUAUCCUUUGUUGCCAGCGGUCCGGCCGGGAACUCAAAGGAGACUGCCAGUGAUAAACUGGAGGAAGGUGGGGAUGACGUCAAGUCAUCAUGGCCCUUACGACCAGGGCUACACACGUGCUACAAUGGCGCAUACAAAGAGAAGCGACCUCGCGAGAGCAAGCGGACCUCAUAAAGUGCGUCGUAGUCCGGAUUGGAGUCUGCAACUCGACUCCAUGAAGUCGGAAUCGCUAGUAAUCGUGGAUCAGAAUGCCACGGUGAAUACGUUCCCGGGCCUUGUACACACCGCCCGUCACACCAUGGGAGUGGGUUGCAAAAGAAGUAGGUAGCUUAACCUUCGGGAGGGCGCUUACCACUUUGUGAUUCAUGACUGGGGUGAAGUCGUAACAAGGUAACCGUAGGGGAACCUGCGGUUGGAUCACCUCCUUACCUUAAAGAAGC
rnacentral:rRNA from 1 species